AUUCUUUUAGUAUUAACUAGUACAGCUGA
rnacentral:tRNA from 1 species